GGGCAUCAUGGGAGGGGCUGGGGGGGGCUGGGAGGGACUGGGAGGGAAUGGGAGGGAAUGGGAGUCAUACUGGGAUAUACUGGGAGGGACUGGGAGGUACUGGGAGUCAUACUGGGAGGGACUGGGAUAUACUGGGAGGGACUGGGAGGGGCUGGGAGGGCACUGGGAGGGACUGGGAGCCAUACUGGGAUAUACUGGGAGGGACUGGGAGCCAUACUGGGAGGGACUGGGAGGGACUGGGAGUCAUACUGGGAUAUACUGGGAGGGACUGGAAGGGACUGGGAGGCACUGGGAGGGACUGGGAGCCAUACUGGGAUAUACCGGGAGGGACUGGGAGGGACUGAGAGGGACUGGGAGGGACUGGGAGUCAUACUGGGAUAUACUGGGAGGGACUGGGAGGGACUGGGAGGGAAUGGGAGGGAAUGGGAGUGAUACUGGGAGGGACUGGGAGUCAUACUGGGAUAUACUGGGAGGGACUGAGUUAUACUGGGAUAUACUGGGAGGGACUGGGAGGGACUGAGA
ensembl:lncRNA